GUCACAUCUUUCAUCACUGCUGCUAUCAACCUCUUUGUACGACAGCCACUAAAUGAAGAUGAAACAGGAAGUUUUUUGAGCUAAAGGAGCCAGGAAGGAUGUUGCCAGGCCUGGUUGCUUUUAAUGACUGAAAGGAGAUUUUGCUCUGGCAGUUGCAUCGGAGAGAAGAGUGGUGACACAAUGUGGAACAAUAAUUACCCUGCAGUGUUAAAGUCCUCCAGUGUCUUGGUGCAUUCAUAAAUAAAAUAUGUU